rnacentral:rRNA from 1 species
UGGGGAAUAUUGGACAAUGGACCAAAAGUCUGAUCCAGCAAUUCUGUGUGCACGAUGACGUUUUUCGGAAUGUAAAGUGCUUUCAGUCGGGAAGAAGCAAGUGACGGUACCGACAGAAGAAGCGACGGCUAAAUACGUGCCAGCAGCCGCGGUAAUACGUAUGUCGCAAGCGUUAUCCGGAUUUAUUGGGCGUAAAGCGCGUCUAGGCGGCAAGGAAAGUCUGAUGUGAAAAUGCGGGGCUCAACUCCGUAUUGCGUUGGAAACUGCCUUACUAGAGUACUGGAGAGGUAGGCGGAACUACAAGUGUAGAGGUGAAAUUCGUAGAUAUUUGUAGGAAUGCCGAUGGGGAAGCCAGCCUACUGGACAGAUACUGACGCUAAAGCGCGAAAGCGUGGGUAGCAAACAGG